rnacentral:lncRNA from 1 species
GUCCAGCCCUGGCGACCAGCCGGCUCGCCCCGUGCUAAUGUGUGCUUCCCUGUGCUUUGACUGGUGUGUUCCUGCCAGGUUAACAGGAGGGAGAAGACAAUGUCAUUUCACUCAUUAAGUAUUUCCUAGAAGUCUCUCUGGAAUUCUGCAAAUUUCUAGGGAAAAAUUGUAGCAGGCUUUUGUUUCUUUUUUUUUUUUUUUUUGCCCUAAGCCUUAGCAUUCUCUUGUACUGGCUACAGCCACUCAGUUUCGCUUCUCCAGCGUGUCUAUUCAGCUAUUUGCAGUGAGAGAAAUGAAGUAUAUCUUGUCCAUAAAGCUGUUCUGAUGUAACUUCGGAGACAAGCAGGCAUGAAUGGAAGGCAGUUAAUGGAUGAAGGUGGAUGGUUGCAGUGUUAUUCAACACCCGGACAAUAAACCCCUAUAUUUUACAGACGUGGUCAUUUGUGGUUCAAUUAAGGAUGCAAAGAAAAACAAGGAAGGCUCAAGGCGACUCCUAACUCAGGAAUGCAGGAUUUAAUUAAUGUCUAUUUUGGAUUCUCAGUGACUGGUUUAUUCAGAGGCCUGGAAAGGCAGCCACAGCACCCAAACACAGGGUAAUUGAAGACUCAGGCUCUUCAUUAAGACCAGGACCUUUCCUAUGGUAGCAGGUAUGCCAGUAGUCAUGACUGGGAACACACAGGAUGUUUGGUAACUAAGGACAUCUUGGCUUCGGAAAGAUCCUGAGUAUCUGUUGCAGCCCUAGACACAACAGCAACGUGGCCUCUGUCUUCUCUGCUUUCACAGUGCCUUUCUCCACCUCACACAGGCCUUCUCAGAGGGCUCUUGGAUGCUGGUGACCUUUGCUAAGUGAUUACACUGCAGAGAAGGCUUCUACAUGAUAGCACUGUGUAUAUACUUCAGGAAUAUCUCAGGUGGACUGCUUCGAAUCUCCUGUUGAGCAAGCCAGGGGAAGCAAGCCAAGAAGCAACAUCCUUCUAUGGCCUCUGCACCAGCUCCUGCCUCCAGAUCCCUGCCUUGUUUGAGUUCCUAUUCUGACUUCCUUUGGUGAUGAACAGCAGUAUGGAAGUGUAAGCUGAAUAAAUCCUUUCCUCCCC